GUGAGGCGGAGCUACCAUGCAGUCGUACGAGAAGGUUCUUUCGGGAACUGGAGAGUGGCGCACGGGUGAGUAACGCGUGGGGACCUACCUCUUAGUGGGGGAUAACGGUUGGAAACGACCGCUAAUACCGCAUACGCCCUUCGGGGGAAAGAUUUAUCGCUAAGAGAUGGACCCGCGUUGGAUUAAAUAGUUGGUGAGGUAACGGCUCACCAAGUCAGCGAUCCAUAGCUGGUUUGAGAGGAUGAUCAGCCACACUGGGACUGAGACACGGCCCAAACUCCUACGGGAGGCAGCAGUGGGGAAUAUUGGACAAUGGGCGCAAGCCUGAUCCAGCCAUGCCGCGUGAGUGAAGAAGGCCUUCGGGUUGUAAAGCUCUUUCAGAUGCGAAGAUGAUGACGGUAACAUCAGAAGAAGCCCCGGCUAAUUUCGUGCCAGCAGCCGCGGUAAUACGAAAGGGGCAAGCGUUGUUCGGAUUUACUGGGCGUAAAGGGCACGCAGGCGGUCCUGCCAGUC
rnacentral:rRNA from 1 species